ACGAAAUUUGCUUGUUUGUUCAUUUGAUACAGCUAAAGUAGUGUUUUGGAUUCAAGAAGAUGAUGGUUGUAUGGAAUAUGAAUUUCUGAACUUGUGUAUGAUCUUUUGCCACUUUUCCUAUUCGAGAACUUUACUUAUUGACCGAGAAAUACAGAGAAAAAGGAUUUGGGUUCGUCGUGUUAGUUCUGCAUAGAUUAGUUUAAUUAAAUGAUAGAAGGGGAUAUUUAUUUUGAUUUUGAUUGAUGGAUUUAUCUAAAGAUUGAUAUGAGCAUGCCUAGAAAUUUCAAAUUUUUGAAAUUAGCUUUGUGAAAAUUUAUGGUAGUGAAAGUUUCAAUUUAGUCCUUACAGAUUUAGAUGUAUGGUCAUUACAGACAUGAAUUAUUUUCAGAAAUUUCUGCAACUAAAUUUUUACUCGGCUUUGCGCAUAAAUAGUUCAUUGGGCUUAAAUUAUCUGGAGUGUUACUUUGGUUGAUAGAUUUAUUGAAAUAAUCGUUUGUGUGCAAAUGUCAUUUUCAAAGUAAUUCAACUAUUCUUUGGAAACUCCUUUCCAUGUCAAUCAAAUUUCAUUAAUAGAAAAUUGAUAACUGCUAAGUAAGUGCUAGGGUAUUGGAAUUCAUUUUUAAGUUGAGAGUUUCUUGCCAUUUCUUGUGCCUUCGUAUUAAAAAUUGGGGAUUUCAUGUGCAUCCACUUGUAUUUUUAUGUAGUUCAUUUUGAAAACCAGAAUAACUGUACUGUGGUUUGGAAACUCUUUGCUUUUUACCAACAUAGAGAAUUGAACAAUUUUUGAGAAGGUAUUUGUCUCAUAAUAAUUGCAAUGCCUAUGCAAUAAUUACAAAUUUUAUUUGGAAAAUUGUGUUCUACUUAUUGUGAUGAAGUGGAGUUGCUUUCGAAGUGAAUUCAUAUAUGCCAACAGUUUUUGAGUCACAUGAUUGUCAACUCUUACGUUCAUCAGUUUUUUUUGGUACCCUUUAUCCCUUGAAAAAAUUUCUUCCCAAUUGUUGUCUCUGAGAGUUUUAUCUGUUUUUCAAGUCAUGACACUUGCAAUAUAUUUACUGUUUCUAAAUUUCAACGUGCAAAAGUUAUUUUAUUAGUUUUUCAUUGUUCGUUAAGCACUUUUCCCUUUCCUUUCCUUGGUGUUUCAUAUAUUCUUAGAAACUCUUUUUGGCUUUGUAGCCUGGCUCAAGAGGCUCGCUCGUUUAGUGUUUUAUUAAACGGAAUAGUUCUAUGCAAACAAUCUAUCUUUACCUCAGUUUAUCUCAAGGCACGCAAUUGUUCUCUGAACUUCAUCUCUGAUUAACAUUGCCCCGGAUUUGCCAGCUUAUUGUUUAUUUUUGAAUUUUUUUUUAAUUUUUUUCAGUAUUUCUUUGCCCCCACGGACUAGCUCCGUGCUACAGGGAGCAGCGGCUCCGUGCAUGCACGCAUGAAGCUGCUGGCCUUCUGUAGUCAACAUAAUAUAUUUUUUUAGUUAUUUGGUCUUCAUCACGGCAACAAUCACCUCAUCCAUUUUCAUACACAACUCGAACAACUCUCCCUCAGUAUCCUUUUUACUUUCACUCCCUCUACUAAAAUGUACAUACUUCCUCAUCGUCUCUCAAAAUUUCCCCUUCUCCUUCGCUCUUUGGGACUUGAUUGACAGAAAAAUCCAUUUGCUUAAUUGCAGCGUUGUUUCCAUUGUCGAUUUCUCACAAAGAAGGUAUUUCUCUAACCCCAUCACCCUUCGUUCUCUGAGCUGUCAAUUUUUCUUUGGCUUGCAUUUUUUGGGUGUUGGGAACACAUCUAUUGGUUCGAUGAUCGAUGUAAGGGAAAUGAGUAUUUUGCUAAGUCUUUUGAUUUUGAUAUAUUCUAUGUUGUUUCAUUUUUCUUUGGCUUACAUUUUUUGGUGUUGUGAACUUUUUCUUGCCCUAAACUCUCGAUUUGCCAGGAAAAGGAAGAUUUUUGGGUAGGUCUUUCAAUUCAUGACUGUUUAUUAACAGGUGAGUAUAUCCUUAGUGAACUUUCUAACAGAUUAGUUGCUGAAUUGUGUAUCUUUACAGAUUGUUUGCUUUACUUCUAUUUUACCAGGUUCAUUACCAUAGUGUCCAUUGUGCCGUUUUACCAUGUAAUCGAACUGUUUAUAUUUCGUCAUAUUUUAUGUAUGUGGCUUCUGCCCACUUGUCUUUUAAUCAAGUACACAGUAGUUGAAUUGUUUAUAUUUUUAACAUGCAGAAUAUUGAUAUUUUAAAAACAAUAAGCAUACUACUUGACUUUGUCUUCCAUCAGCUGGUCAUGUCUAAUUUCAUGCAUCAUGACUGUUGCUAAUCUAAGAAAUUUUAUCUCAAGUUUUAACAUCUCAUCUUAAAACACCAAUUUAUAUAAUUCUGGUUUGCAAUAUUUAAAAUGGAAAAUUUUGAAAUUUAAAGAGUACUAUCUAUCAAUUUAUACUCUCUAUAGAUAGUAUAGUGUUUUUUUUCAUGCUUUUGAGGACAGUUGAUACUGAAAAUACAUACUUAUGUCCCUACUUUGGAAUUUUAUUUAGGCAUGUGGAAAUCAGAGUGAAGCUGAUGUUUUCUUAUAAAUACGUUGGUCUCAUUUAAGCUAAGUGAUGAUGUAAUCUGAAGCAAAAAUGAAGGUUAGUAAGAAAAGUUUUUGCAUUAUUAUUUUUAUUGUUCGUGUGAUGCUUAGGCGCUGUCUGGCACAGCUUUUCAUCAGAAAAGUUACCGUUGGCAGUGAAAAUACCACCGUUGGCAGUCGCAAUGUUUGACCCACUCUCUCACAGUUGGGUCCCAUCCGACCAAAUAACGGUCAAAUUAUUGCUGAAAAUCUGGAAAAGAAGUUGCACCAGACAUGUUCUUAAUAUGCUUCAAAGUUGAACUUCUAAAGGUUUUUAGCUAACUGUUCUCACCUUUAACUGAAUACAAUGCUUAACAUGCUUCAAUGUAAAUAUUUUUUCACUUGAUGGAUCUUUUGCUUCCCG
rnacentral:lncRNA from 1 species